CAAAUAAUGUAAGUAUUCCAUCUCUUCUAGGUAUCCAAUGAAUUUUUUGAAGAAGGAUUUAUGGCUGAUGUUGAUUUAGAUGACAGUUGUACACUAAAUAAGAAAAUAAGAAAUGCACAGCUGGCUCAGUAUAAUUUUAUUUUGGUGGUUGGAGAAAAGGAAAAGAUAAAUAAUGCUGUAAAUGUCUGAACAAGAGACAACAAAAUUCAUGGAGAGAUUUCAGUAACUUCUGCCAUUGAUAAAUUGAAGAAUCUCAAGAAAUCACAUACACUAAAUGCUGAGGAAGGGUUUUGAAGAACUUUCCUUGUACAUGCUUCUUGUUUUGACCUUUGAAAAAUGUAUUUUUUCUUAAACAGUUAACGUGUUAGUACUUCUAAGAACUUUGGACCCACUGAUGGUUUCACUUAUUAUGGGGUCAGGUGACAAAGGAAAAAUGAAUGAGUAGGUGAUAUAUACAAUGUUUAAUUCAUUAAUGUGUUCUGACAGGGAUAAGAGGAGCAGCUUUGGACAUUUUCCAAUAAUAUCUUCAGUGACCUUGAUGAAAUGUUACUCAUUGAAAGAAGGAAACACUGGAAAAUGAAAAUUAUAAAAAGGUAUUGCUAAGAUUUGUGAAUUUCAAAAAAUAUGCUUCAGAGCUGGGGUUGUAGCUAGUGGUAGAGCACUUGCUUUGAACAGAUGAGGCCCUGGGUUCAAUCCCCAGCAUUGCAAAAAUGAAUGAAUAAAUAAAUGAAAAGGGUUCAAAUAAAAGUCUUCAAAGCUGUUUUGAAUAUGGAAAAAACCCUUAUUUUCCAAUAAGAUUAUGUCUCAAGUAUUUUUAUGGCUGUUUAUUACUAAAGUUCACACUGAAACUUUAUUUCCCAAAUUGGAAUCAUUAAUUUGUUUCAACUAAGCAGCAACUGUAAGAAAAAACUAGCACUAAAUAUCGGGCUCCUGACAAAAGACUCUGAACCUUAAGAGGAAUUCAGUCAUGGAAUCUUUUAUUUGCACUGUAGGAUAAAAGUUGCAGUUUUAAUGCCUCUAAUUCAUAAUUCUUACUCAUCUUUAGAGAAAAUAAAUACCCAAAUAAAAUGCAUAAUGGUGUUUCCAGUG